rnacentral:rRNA from 1 species
GACGAACGCUGGCGGCGUGCUUAACACAUGCAAGUCGAACGGAAAGGCCCUGCCUUUGUUGGGUGCUCGAGUGGCGAACGGGUGGGUAACAUGUGAGUAACCUGCCCUUGACUUUGGGAUAACUUCAGGAAACUGGGGCUAAUACCGUACAGGAUCUCCUGCUGCAUGGUGGGGGUGGGAAAGGUUCGGCGGUUGGGGAUGGACUCGCGGCUUAUCAGCUCGUUGGUGGGGUAGUGGCUGACCAAGGCUUUGACGGGUAGCCGGCCUGAGAGGGUGACCGGCCACAUUGGGACUGAGAUACGGCCCAGACUCCUACGGGAGGGAGCAGUGGGGAAUAUUGCACAGUGGGCGGGAGGCUGGUGCAGCAGCGCCGCGUGCGGGAUGACGGCCUUCGGGUUGUGAACCGCUUUCGCCUGUGACGAAGCGUGAGUGACGGUAAUGGGUAAAGAAGCACCGGCUAACUACGUG